ensembl:lncRNA
GUCCGAGUGGCCACAGCACAGCUCACAGGACAUUCUCUUCAAUGGUCUAAUUCUCAUCCAUGUGGCCUGAGAAGGUGGGGGUCCUGUGAGAGGACCCAGGCGCUGAGAGGCCAGCCCUGCCCCGGUCCUCACAGUGUCCACAGCCUGCGCCCCUCGCUGAGCACCCUGGAGAAGCGGCCGUGAAGCCCGCUUCGCAGAGCGUGUCCUGCUGUGUGACGUCCUCGCUCGCGUCAGGCAGAGCUGCUCCCAGUUCAGGGGCUGCAGCGCCGCGUCUGCGACUUGCAGACGCCCUUUGUUGUCAUCAGGAACUCUGUCCUUGCUCCACAGAGAGCCCCCGGGCUCUGUCUCUGGCCAAGGUCUUGCAGGGUCAGUGCAGGAGGGGUGCAGUGGGUGUCCUGACAGCGUUUCUCUUUCUUGGAAGCCGGGCUGUUUCCUCAUGAUUCAGCCUCUGAAGUCAGCCAGACAGGAAUGCGUCCCCACCCAGAUGAUGCUGGGCCUGUCUGAGCAACCAGCAAUCAACUGUGCCAAAACCCAGCAAAGUAACCCUGCCGACGGACCAACCGGUGGUCCAACCAUGCCAGUUAACCGGCAAAGUCACCAUGCCGCCCAACCAACCAGCCAUCAACCAUGCCAAUUAACUGGCAAAGUAACCAUGCCAACCCACCAACCAGCCAUCAACCAUGCCAGUUAACCAGCAAAGUCACCAUGCCACCCAACCAACCAGCCAUCAACCAUGCCAAUUAACAAGCAAAGUAACCAUGCCACCCAACCAACCGGUGAUCCAACCAUGCCAAUUAACCGGCAAAGUCACCAUGCUGACCAACCAACCGGUGAUCCAACCGUGCCAACAGCCUGUCUCCUGGACAGCCCAGGAGGUCACGGUCGCAGAGGAGGCUAUGGCCGGGUAAAGAGCAGAUGGAGGGCCAGACAGACAGCAGAUCAGACAGACAGACAGCAAGGGUCUCUGGCCCCCGGGAGCAGCACAGGCAGGCUGGCAAGUGCCGUGGGGAGGGCUCUGUGGGAAAUCUCUAAAGGCACAGAAUCAAAGUUGAGAACAUCAGCGGCAGAAGGCAGAGCCUGCCUCCAGCCCAGAGGCGCCAGAAACUCAGAGAAGAAAGAAACUCAGGGAAGGCAGAAGGCCGAGGGCAGAGUGUGCAGAAACAGAGAUUAACUGAGACAUUCCAUUUAUUUGCCUGAAUAAUUUGUGUUUUUAGCAUGUUUUUCCUCUGAACAGGUAUGGUCGUAACUGCUCAGGACAAAGGGAAGACAAAGCAGGCAGCUGCUCUGGGCUGAAGGUGGCCUGUGACGGGGAGGGCGGAGGAUUACUCGACGAUGGGGGUCCUUCCAGUGCAUUUGAAGCCGUGAUCUCCCAUCCAAGGAUAAAGCCCCCAGCAAAUGAAGCAGCAAGUCAUUAGCCCCCGUGCAUUUGGAGAAGGAAAUGGCAACCCACUGCAGUGCUCUUGCCUGGAGAAUCCUAGGGACGGGGGAGCCUGGUGGGCUGCCGUCUCUGGGGUCGCACAGAGUCGGACACGACUGAAGCGACUUAGCAGCAGCAGCAGCAGCCGUGAUCUCCUAACCAAGGAUAAAGCCCCCAGCACACGAAGCAGCAAGUCAUUAGCCCCCGUGCACUUUGGCUUUGUUUUCCUUAAUCGUCCCUCCAUCUCCAUGCCAUAGUCCCAUCAGACACCGCUGGACGGGUUUGCACACCACUGGCCGGAUGACGCACACAGCCUGGAGUCUCAGAUCGGUCUCUGUGACACUCACCACCUCCUGGGUGGCCGGCGUGGGGGGGACAGCCGUGGUGUCGGUCGGGGCCCUCCCUGCGGCCUCCCCUCCAGCAGGCUUGUCCCCGCUGCACGCGCUGGUUU